UACGAAGGGGGCUAGCGUUGUUCGGAAUUACUGGGCGUAAAGCGCGCGCCGGCGGCUAUCCAAGUCAGUGGUGAAAGCCCGGAGCUCAACUCCGGAACUGCCAUUGAAACUGUUUAGCUUGAGGAUGAGAGAGGUGAGUGGAAUUCCCAGUGUAGAGGUGAAAUUCGUAGAUAUUGGGAAGAACACCGGUGGCGAAGGCGGCUCACUGGCUCAUUACUGACGCUCAGGCGCGAUAGCGUGGGGAUCAAACAGG
rnacentral:rRNA from 1 species